UUUCCAAAGAGAGGUUUCUCUGCGUGCUUGAGGUAUAAUGCAAGUACGGUCGUUUUAGGUUUUACCAACUGCGGCUAAUCUUUUUUUUAUACUGAGCGUAUUGGAACGUUAUCGAUAAGAAGAGAGCGUCUAGGCGAACAAUGUUCUUAAAGUUUGACCUCAAAUCAGGUAGGAGUACCCGCUGAACUUAAGCAUAUCAAUAAGCGGAGGAAAAGAAACCAACCGGGAUUGCCUUAGUAACGGCGAGUGAAGCGGCAAAAGCUCAAAUUUGAAAUCUGGUACCUUCGGUGCCCGAGUUGUAAUUUGGAGAGGGCAACUUUGGGGCCGUUCCUUGUCUAUGUUCCUUGGAACAGGACGUCAUAGAGGGUGAGAAUCCCGUGUGGCGAGGAGUGCGGUUCUUUGUAAAGUGCCUUCGAAGAGUCGAGUUGUUUGGGAAUGCAGCUCUAAGUGGGUGGUAAAUUCCAUCUAAAGCUAAAUAUUGGCGAGAGACCGAUAGCGAACAAGUACAGUGAUGGAAAGAUGAAAAGAACUGUGAAAAGAGAGUGAAAAAGUACGUGAAAUUGUUGAAAGGGAAGGGCAUUUGAUCAGACAUGGUGUUUUGUGCCCUCUGCUCCUUGUGGGUAGGGGAAUCUCGCAUUUCACUGGGCCAGCAUCAGUUUUGGUGGCAGGAUAAAUCCAUAGGAAUGUAGCUUGCCUCGGUAAGUAUUAUAGCCUGUGGGAAUACUGCCAGCUGGGACUGAGGACUG
rnacentral:rRNA from 1 species